AGCUCCAAUAGCGUAUAUUAAAGUUGUUGCAGUUAAAAAGCUCGUAGUUGGACUUUAGGCAAGGCGGCCUGGUCACCCUCUGGGUGUACUGGGAUCGCUGCGCCUCACCUUCGGGGAGCUAGUCGUGCUUCGGUGCGCUAGGGAACCGAGCCUUACCUUGAGGAAAUUAGAGUGUUUAAAGCAGGCUUAUGCUUGAAUACGUUAGCAUGGAAUAACAUGAUAGGACUUUGGUUCUAUUUUGUUGGUUUGAGGACCAAAGUAAUGAUUAAUAGGGACAGUUGGGGGCAUUAGUAUUCAAUAGUCAGAGGUGAAAUUCUUGGAUUUAUUGAAGACUAACUAAUGCGAAAGCAUUUGCCAAGGAUGUUUUCA
rnacentral:rRNA from 1 species